rnacentral:rRNA from 1 species
CAGUCGCCGCGGGAAUACGUAGGGGGCAAGCGUUGUCCGGAAUUAUUGGGCGUAAAGCGCGCGCAGGCGGUCAUGUAAGUCUGGUGUUUAAUCCCGGGGCUCAACCCCGGAUCGCACUGGAAACUGGGUGACUUGAGUGCAGAAGAGGAGAGUGGAAUUCCACGUGUAGCGGUGAAAUGCGUAGAGAUGUGGAGGAACACCAGUGGCGAAGGCGACUCUCUGGGCUGUAACUGACGCUGAGGCGCGAAAGCGUGGGGAGCAAACAGGAUUAGAUACCCGCGUAGUCCCUGUCUCUUAUACA